rnacentral:misc_RNA from 1 species
GGCACAAUAAAGAAAUGGAUGACAGCGAGGAAGUUGGGAGUAAGUUGCGUGAAGAUUCUCGUUUUUGAUGAGGCUGAUCAUAUGCUUAGCGAGGAUGGCUUUCAGGAUGAUUCAUUGAGAAUCAUGAGGGACAUUGAGAGAAGUAGCCCUCAUUGCCAGGUUCUUCUGUUCUCUGCAACAUUUGAUGAGAAUGUUAAAAAGUUUGUCUCUAGGGUUGUUAAAGAC